CUAGGAGCAUAUGUAUAAAGAAACCCCAUUCCUAGACCUAGGGCCGCUGUGACCUGAAGACCAUCCUCCUGUUACUAAAGUGUCAGCUCCAUGAAGAUAAGGAGAACUUUGUUAGAAGGUGGAACACAGUGCCUGGCCCUGUGAGGGCCCCAGUCUACGAUAAGUCAAUCAGGAACGCUGACGAAGCCAGAGAUGAUGAGCGCCUUGCCCUCGAGUCUGUCUGUCCUCGCUGUGGAGUUCUCUGAAGCGUCGGUGAGUGGCACCAUCAGCGUCCAGCAGCUGUGCUGCUGUUUGUUCGCUUCGGUUCAUCUUGCACGUGAGUGGACGGCGAUCGAAAAGCUGCCUUUCUAAGGCAUCCCAGAAUACCUGCAAAUGCUCUCCUCUGAUGAGAGGCAUUCCCAGGCUUCGAAAGAAUAACUAAAGCAAAGG